UACGUAGGGUGCGAGCGUUGUCCGGAAUUAUUGGGCGUAAAGAGCUUGUAGGCGGUUUGUCGCGUCUGCCGUGAAAUUUCGAGGCUCAACCUCGAACUUGCGGUGGGUACGGGCAGACUAGAGUGUGGUAGGGGAGACUGGAAUUCCUGGUGUAGCGGUGAAAUGCGCAGAUAUCAGGAGGAACACCGAUGGCGAAGGAAGGUCUCUGGGCCACUACUGACGCUGAGAAGCGAAAGCAUGGGGAGCGAACAGG
rnacentral:rRNA from 1 species